rnacentral:rRNA from 1 species
UACAGAGGCCUCGAGCGUUAGGCGGAAUCACUGGGCUUAAAGCGUGUGUAGGUGGAUGCCUAAGUACCUUGUGAAAUCCCACGGCUCAACCGUGGAACUGCUUGGUAUACUGGUUCUCUUGGGCCAUCUAGGGGCUAGCGGAACAAACGGUGGAGCGGUGAAAUGCGUAGAUAUCGUUUGGAACGCCAAUGGUGAAAACAGCUAGCUGGGGAUGUGCCGACGCUGAGACACGAAAGCCAGGGGAGCGAACGGG